CUGAAUAAAGCAUUGAAACUUAUUAUUUUAAAUUCAAAUUAUCUUUUGUUGGUACUUUGGUUUUUUAUGGUUGGCGACAUUCGUUUUAGUUUGACAGGUGACCGUGCUUUUGAAAAUCGAAUUCUUACGAAUUAGGUGCUUUUAAAAUAACACAGAACGGUAGAAAUUGGAAGUAGUGAAGGUUUUCGAACGAAUUUUCCUAUUUUCCAAACCGGUAAGUGUUUUUUACACUUUUACACCAUCCAAUAUAAAAACACGGCCCACUUGACUUUGAUGUAAAUUUGGUUGGUAGUUCCGGGGUUGACCACCAUGUUUUUUAUUUGAUUGUUUGACAGACGCAAUAAUUGUGUUAUUUAUUACAAAUUAAAUGCUCUCAGACAAUAAGUGAAAAAGUCUAGUGAUGGUUUUCGGACGAAUUUCCGUACUUUCUUUCCUGAUCGUCAGCCUGUAUGUUGCGAAGUUAGAAAAAUAUUACCAUUGAUAUUCAAAACCGUGCGAGAACCCACACUGAUGGUCAGGUCGGCAGCAGUAAUCCCAAGUGUUUGAAUCACCCCCUUCUAAUUCGCAGAACCAAAAUCCUGCUUCCCUGUUUUCCCGACAACGGCUUCCUCUGCGGCAAGGCCAUCCACUGACACUGUAGACUCUCCAGGUUCCAAUAGCGUUGGACAUGUCUGUUGUAAUUGAGAAAUACUUACAGUAGCUAUGUUGCUACGGAUCAGAAGAUUCUGCUGAAGUUUUUCAACUGUCCACACUAAACAACUCCUUGUGAAGGGCGGGAAACUCCAGGUGUGGUGCAGAUCUUUUGAGUUUUCCUAAUGCAUCCAUGUGAAGCAUACUUAUCUCCCUGUAAAAAUCACACUAGUUUGUUGUGUUUUAUGUUGAGGAAUGGAUUACCUUAACGCAUGCUGUGGUUUCUGUCUAGCUCAAGUCUUAAGGCUCUCACGACGGCUUGGCUAAGUCGACUGAUUUCGCCGAUACCUUUCAGCCCCGGCCGAUCUAUGGGAAAAAUUAUACGGUAAGUUGUAGAAGUAAGCACAGUUUUGAAAUGAGAAAGGGUGAUUGUGAAUUGAUGGCACAUGAUACGAAUGUACAUUGUAUACCCACCUGGAGAGAGCAAGACGCAGGCCGAAUACAGAGCCAACUCUGUUUCGGUAAGUUUCAGUUCUGCUAUGCUUUUGGACACUUCGAAGACGCACGUGACCAGCUUCAUUUCCGCCGUAUCCGACGUGAAGAAGGCGUCUUGGGGGAGCAUCGUAUCGCCGUAGAGAACACAGUUUUGGGACAGAUCCAAAUAACGUGACAUUCUAAUAAUUGCCAGUUCAAAACUACCUGUUGAUCGAAAAACGGCCGAGUGUUGAUUAAUAGUCAAAGUUAGACAGUGGAAUACGCACCUGCUUUCAAUAAUACGAUCUGAUCGUCUUGGGACAAUUUCAUGAAUCCAGGUACCAUUUUCGCAAAUUCGAUGAUUUGCUGGAUGAUUGUUGUGAGUUUUUGGGCGCAUUCGAGCCACAACUCUUCAUGGGCCAUGUUCUUAUAGUACAAAAGUCGGGAGAGAUCAUGGGGUUUCCUGAACAUCUCGUGAAUAUGUUCGAGGGAAUAUAAACAAGUACGUGUGUGUGCGUCUGAUAUUGUCUUCGAUAAUAACUCCGAUAUCUGACUUGGAUCUGGAACAGAAAAAGCGAGUUUAACGACCCGAACUGCGGCGAUUUCGCAACAACCAAGCAUCAUCCUACAUGCGAUAGUAGGCAACCAGUAAAACAUGCAUCACCACUUUUUGUUACGAAAAAAUAGAUGAGAAAGAGACAUCAAGUCAAAAUAAUAUCACACUCGACUGCGAAUGGACUUACUAGGCAAUGUGACAGGUUCACAAUCGUCGCCACUUCUUUGUUGUACAUUUUGUGAACUGGUCUGUUGCCUAACUGUGUUAGUUUGUUGUACUGUAGGAGAAUUAACGAAAGUGGUGCUAUCUACAUAACUGGGUACCAAACUGUCCACAGCCACCUCUUGUUUCACAGACACCACCGUACCUCCAGACAGUGUCGUACUGGAGGAGGUCUGACUGACCCGUUUAAAAGAACGAGAAUCAGAGAUCGACAAUGUUGUUUGUUUCCCGCCACCUCCACCGCCACCUCCACCACCACCACCACCACCACCCCCUUCACCACUAUUUGUGUUAGUAUUCCCUGAUAAAUGAUGAAUUUGGUAUUUACGUGCGUGGGGAUUUGACGAGGAACCCUUACCUGUUGUUACAACGUUGGCCAUUAAGCUUCCCGUGUCGUUCAGUGUGUCCAGGCCCGGCCUCGGAUCAUACGCUGUUGUACUGUCCACGUAAUCUGCGGAGAUGUCAUAGCCCAUCGAAUUCGCUUGGACUUGGGUUGUAUUCGUGUAAUAGGCUGGAG